AACCUGGUUGAUCCUGCCAGUAGUCAUAUGCUUGUCUCAAAGAUUAAGCCAUGCAUGUAUAAGUUCACACCUUUAUAUGGUGAAACCGCGAAUGGCUCAUUAAAUCAGCUAUGGUUCCUUAGAUCUUACAAUCCUACUUGGAUAACUGUGGUAAUUCUAGAGCUAAUACAUGCCAACUAAUCCCUGACUUUAUAGGAAGGGUGGAUUUAUUAGAACAAAACCAACCGGCUCUGCCGUUGGCUUGAUGACUCUGGAUAACUUUUCUGAUCGCACGGCCUAGCGCCAGCGACGUAUCUUUCAAAUGUCUGCCCUAUCAACUAUCGAUGGUAGGUGAUAUGCCUACCAUGGUGAUGACGGGUAACGGGGAAUCAGGGUUCGAUUCCGGAGAGGGAGCCUUAGAAAUGGCUACCACAUCUAAGGAAGGCAGCAGGCGCGCAAAUUACCCACUCUCAGCUCGAGGAGGUAGUGACGAAAAAUAACGGGAUGGGUCUCGAAUGAGGCUUCAUCAUUGGAAUGAGUACAAUUUAAAUCCUUUAACGAGGAACUAUUGGAGGGCAAGUCUGGUGCCAGCAGCCGCGGUAACUCCAGCUCCAAUAGCGUAUAUUAAAGUUGCUGCAGUUAAAAAGCUCGUAGUUGGAUGUCAGGAACGGGGCUUUUGGUUUGCAUAUUAUGUUAACCUUAAGUUUCCACCUAAUCAGCUGUCAGUCAUUCUGGGUGCUCUUCACCGAGUGCUCAAAAUACUCAGCACGUUUACUUUG
rnacentral:rRNA from 1 species